UUACGGCCGUAGCACGUUAAAACAUCGAUCUCGUACGAUCACCGAAGUUAAGCAACGUCGAGUCUGGUCAGUACCUAGAUGGGUGACCACUUUGGAAAUAUUAGGUACUGUAA